rnacentral:lncRNA from 12 species
GUAGAGAAACCCCUUAUUUUCAGAGAAUGCAAAGUUGAGGAUGGCUAACAGAUAUUGUUAAGGUUAGGAAUUCCUUCUAUUGCAGAUCCUGCAGCCUGCAUGCUAAAGACACCACUUUAAAAUGGUUAUGCAUGACAAAACGCUCAAGAACUGGAGCUGCCAUUUUGGCAACUCUUCUGGAGUCAUCACCCAGGUGGGAUACUGCUGACUACAGGAUGCUCUUGUCCUCCUUUCUUGGAUCUCUUGGGCAUUGGGCACCUGUCUUACUCAUUUUUGUACCCCUGGAAUUAGUUAUGGUUUAUUUACCAUUGGGACUUCUUUCCUAACAGAAACCUGGCCACCACCUCUUGGAAGGAAAUGCGGAAACCAUGCUGUUUUCCUCAGCAGUCAAUUUUCCCUGUCAUGAGCAUCCUAAUGGCAAACAAACUUUCUGCCAAGAAAGAUAGCCUAGGUCACAAGUCAAAAGGAAAAUAACAAAUCAACCAAAACAAAAAGCAAGUAGAGGUAAAAUUGUAAGACACUCAGGGGAAAAGGAUCUCAGGAAGAAGUAAGGGUCAGGAAGAAGAAUGGUUAGAAAUACAUUCUAUAGUUGUGUAUUGAUUUGGAUGAGUUUAAUAAUGCCAAGAACACAAUUAAGAAUAGAGGCAGAAGACAAGGUGUAUACAAUGAGACAAUGAAAGAAAAAAGUCUAGACAACAUUUUUAUCUGUUAGGGAAUCAGACUAAGAGCUAAAAAGAGAAAUGAAAACAAAUCAUGUUGUAGACCUUUUUAAAAUUUUCUUUGGACAGUUUUUCUUUGAAGGAAUAGUCAAUAGCUUCAUAAUUGUGUGAUUUCUCUUGUGCUAGGAAGACCCAUCAUGCAAAAAAGACUCCCUCAGUGGCUUAUUAUUAAUAGAUGAAGGUCUAUGCAUCAAGGAUCAAGCAAUUGACUUGCAUCCUAAUACCUCAUAGGUCCUCUCUGCCCAGAACCUCCCUUCCAAUUAGAUGGAUAUCAGAUGUGUUUCUGCCACCUUUCUGGGAAUCCAGUUGUGCUCUGUGGCCAGGUCACUAUUGCUAUUUUGGACUAUCUCUGAUGCGAUCUGCCUGCCCGCCUGGUGCUUAACCUAGUAUAUUUCUACAUUUCUUCACCCUUUCUGCCCUCAGAUCAUCAUGCCCUGCCUCCCUGAUCUGCAUGGCUUCCAGUGCACCUCCAAGCCCUUUCCAGGUACAGCAAACCCUGUCAGUUCAAGUUCACUUGGGUUAUGAGUUAGAAAUAAGUGUCCUUGAAAUUCUGGUGAGCUCUUUGAUAAUGUAGGAAAACACUCUCUUGUUGAAAACAAGCAAACUUAUCUGUUUUUUUUUUUUUCCAGACUUUGUAAUGAAUUUCUUAAAGGAUAUUUUCCUAUGACAUUCUGAAUGUUUUGAAUGUUUUGAAUAUAAAAAUAUUGACAACCUAGGUCUUAGAAUUUACGUUGGAAUCUUGGAGAUGAGUUAGCCCACAAAGCCUCUUUUUAUAGUUGUGGUUUUUGGAUAAAUUUCUAAUGCUUGAAAGUCAUAUAUGGAAUCACUCAAUUUUUCCUUUCAUUCUUUUGAACUUGAUGUGGUCCUUUCUCCAACUCACAAAUCAAGUCCCUCUUCUUUACCUUGUUUGACCCUAGCUUUGAAAACACAUAAAUGAUUAAACAAAAAUCAAGCAAGAAAAAAAUAUCAGAGAAUAGUAUAAUCUGUCAACUGAUUCCAUGAAGCUUUGGUGCUGCCAUAAAUAACUACCAAGACCUUAAAUUCCAAUCUAGAGGGCUGCCAGUAGUAACCUUUGCCAGAGCCAUAAUGCCUCUUGACUUUCUUGUUUUACUCUUGUAUCCACAGAGAAAGGAAUCAACACAAGAAAUGAUAAGAAUUUAUCCAUAAGUAUUUUAGUAGUCUUUCCCAUUUAUGGUUGUGUUGGACACCUAAUAGUUUUACUUGUUUUUUUUUAAUGUGAGUUGAAUUAAACAAUGGAGGUGACCCAUAUGAACAUGAAUGAACACUUGUGAGC